ACACAACAGAGCUCCUAGGUCAGUGCUGGCACCACAGGCAGAUCAGCUGAAGAAGAUAACACUUUUCCCAUGUUUCCCUGCUGGUUUCUUACGGCCUUCCUGGCCCAUGUAGGCUGGGCUCUUCAGCAAACCCCAGACAUGAUUGUCCGACUGGGAGACUCUCUGACUCUGAACUGCUCACACAAAGAGAGUGUAAUCCAGACCAUGUUCUGGUACAAGCUGCCAGUGGGGAAGAACGCCACUUUGCAGCUGAUUGUUCGUUCAGUGGAAGGUAACAAAGCAGAGUUUGAGGAAGAAUUCAAAAGCCACUUCCAGAGCAGUGGGACUAAGGAGAAAUCCUUAUCAGUGGCGAUAGAUCACGUCCUACUCAAUGACUCAGGCACUUAUUUCUGCGCUAAGCAAGAUACACUGUGACACGAAGGCUGGAGCAGCACAACGCAAACCUCUCUCCAUACAAGUGGAGACCUGACCCCUGAACACACAGUCCACUGUGUACCAGUAGAACUAUUUUUCCACUUUUGACCUCCAGCUCUGUCCACUUAAGUAGUGGUUUCCUCUCUGUGUCUUCUGCUUGUUCUCUGCUUUUUUCCCCUUUCCACCUCUGAACAAAUUCUGAUCCUACUUUUGAUACCAACUGUAAUGCUAUUGCUAAGCUUGUUAGCGUUCACUGAAAAGCAGCCCUGCAGUUUGUUCAGAUAAUGGGAAGAACUGCGUCUUUGUUGAAGUCCUCCAGCAGGAUGAGUGCUUGCGAUUGCGAUGCCCCCUGGAGCUGGAGGUUGACAGGCUCUGCUUGACUGGGUGACCUGUAGUAGACGCUGAUCACAAGGCUUCCCUUGCUGCGUAGGUCUCUAACCAUCACCCAUAGGCUUUUGACUUGCUCAUGACUAUACUUUAGGGACAAGUCUUCAGGUUCUAUUGCGUUCAUGAUGUAGAUAGCAACACUACGUCCCCUCCUUCCUCGUCUGUCCCUUCUGAAGAGCUCGUAGCAGUCAACAGGCACACUCCAGUCAUAGGAAUCAUUCCACCAGGUUUCAGUGAUGGCAACUACAUUGUGGUUUUCUAGUAGCCCAGUAGAUUCCAGCAUCUCCUGUUUGUUUCCCAGGCUGUGUGCAUUGGUGUGGAGGCACUUCAGCUGGGCAGCUGGUCUUGUCAAGUCCUUAAAGGAUAACUCCUUAAUUCCUUGAAGUAUUCCCCUUCAUUUUUCCCUCUGCCUUCUCCUAUUG